CCUACGGGCGGCAGCAGUGAGGAAUAUUGGUCAAUGGGCGGGAGCCUGAACCAGCCAAGCCGCGUGAGGGAAGAAGGUCCAGCGUAUUGUAAACCUCUUUUGUCAGGGAACAAAGGCGGGGACUAGUCCCCGGAUGAGGGUACCUGAAGAAAAAGCAUCGGCUAACUCCGUGCCAGCAGCCGCGGUAAUACGGAGGAUGCGAGCGUUAUCCGGAUUUAUUGGGUUUAAAGGGUGCGCAGGCGGCCUGUUAAGUCAGCGGUAAAAGGUCGGGGCUCAACCGCGGUGAGCCGUUGAAACUGGCAGGCUGGAGUUGGGGCGAAGUACGCGGAAUGCGCUGAGUAGCGGUGAAAUGCUUAGAUAUCACGCAGAACCCCGAUAGCGAAGGCAGCGUACCGGCUCCAGACUGACGCUGAGGCACGAGAGCGUGGGUAGCGAACAGGAUUAGAUACCCCAGUAGUC
rnacentral:rRNA from 1 species